GGUGUAGGCGGCUUGGCAAGUGUCCUGUGAAAUCCCACGGCUCAACCGUGGAACUGCAGGGCAAACUGCCUGGCUUGAGGUCGGUAGAGGUGCCUGGAACUCUAGGUGGAGCGGUGAAAUGCGUAGAUAUCUAGAGGAAUGCCAGUGGCGAAAGCGGGGCACUGGGCCGAUUCUGACGCUGAGACCCGAAAGCGUGGGGAGCAAACA
rnacentral:rRNA from 1 species